GAAUGAAUCCAGUCUAUCAGGCAGCAACACAACUAUCUCCCCUGAAUGAAUGAAUCCAGUCUAUCAGGCCCGAACACAACUAUCUCCCCUGAAUGAAUGAAUCCAGUCUAUCAGGCCCGCAACACAACUAUCUCCCCUGAAUGAAUGAAUCCAGUCUCUCAGGCCGCAUCUCAUUUAUGAGAAGGUUUUAGGACGGAGAGUGAGUCUUAGGAAAUUAUACACUCUGCGUACCAAAUGGCACCCUAUUCCCUAUAUAGUGCACUAUGGGCCCUGGUCAAAAGUAGUGCAUUAUAUAGGGGAAAGGGUGCCAUUUGGGACACAGACAGACUGUGUUUCUGACAUCUUCCUUGUGUUAUGUCAGAUACCAUGUGGGGAAGAGAUAUAGUGUCCCGUCGUCACUGAGGGAUCUGUCUUCAUUCUUUCUCUUUUAUCUCUGUGACAAGCUGACAGUGAUAUUUUGGGACCUGAGACACAUCUCCUGAUAAUUGGUUCCCGUCGCCCGUCACCUGAGGGGAGAGUGUGAGCCGUUGCUCUGGCACUUCCGUCACCUGUCACCUCUACAGGACCUGAGCCCUUGGACCAUGCCCCAAGACUACCUGACAUGAUGACUCCUUGCUGUCCCCAGUCCACCUGGCCGUGCUGCUGCUCCAGUUUCAACUGUUCUGCCUUGUUAUUAUUUGACCAUGCUGGUCAUUUAUGAACAUUUGAACAUCUUGGUCAUGUUCUGUUAUAAUCUCCACCCGGCACAGCCAGAAGAGGACUGGCCACCCCUCAUAGCCUGGUUCCUCUCUAGGUUGAUAAUCUCCACCCGGCACAGCCAGAAGAGGACUGGCCACCCCACAUAGCCUGGUUCCUCUCUAGGUUUAUAAUCUCCACCCGGCACAGCCAGAAGAGGACUAGCCACCCCACAUAGCCUGGUUCCUCUCAUG